CCAACUAACAACAAUAAACGAGGGUCUAUUGUUACUUUGUGGUCACACUGCUGCCAAAUGGUGCUCUCACGGAUUCAGAAGAAACAAGCAGGAAGCGGCAGGAGCAGAGUGCAGCUUUCCAGUAUCGACCUUCGACCUUUGCCAAGCUGUAGUGGCCUUGCUGCCUGUACCCAGCAGCUCCUGGAUGGAUGACAGCCCGGUAAAGAAGAUUCUUGCUCAUGCUGUCCUAUCCUUCCACUGCUUUUAAUGUAUAUGAUGCUAAUAAGGUUGUCUCCAUACCAAUAUUUUGGUAGCGGUAUCAAAAUGUAGUUCGAUACUUUCAAUUUUUUUUUUUUUUUUUUUUUUUUUUGUCCUGUCCAG